AUUGAACGCUGGCGGCAGGCCUAACACAUGCAAGUCGAGCGGAUGAAGGGAGCUUGCUUCUGGAUUCAGCGGCGGACGGGUGAGUAAUGCCUAGGAAUCUGCCUGGUAGUGGGGGAUAACGUCCGGAAACGGGCGCUCAUACCGCAUACGUCCUGAGGGCGUACGUGUGGGAUCUUCGGACCUCCCGCUCUCAGGUGAUCCGAGGUCGCAUUAGCUAGUUGGCGGGGUAAAGGCCUACCAAGGCGACGAUCCGUAACUGGUCUGAGAGGAUGAUCAGUCACACUGGAACUGAGACACGGUCCAGACUCCUACGGGAGGCAGCAGUGGGGAAUAUUGGACAAUGGGCGAAAGCCUGAUCCAGCCAUGCCGCGUGUGUGAAGAAGGUCUUCGGAUUGUAAAGCACUUUUAGUUGGGAGGAAGGGCAGUAAGUUAAUACCUUGCUGUUUUGACGUUACCAACAGAAUAAGCACCGGCUAACUUCGUG
rnacentral:rRNA from 1 species